rnacentral:rRNA from 1 species
UGGCGGCAGCUUACACAUGCAGUCGAGCGCACUCUUCGGAGUGAGCGGCGGACGGGUGAGUAACGCGUGGGAACGUGCCCUUUACUUCGGAAUAGCCACUGGAAACGGUGAGUAAUACCGGAUACGCCCUUUUGGGGAAAGAUUUAUCGGUAAAGGAUCGGCCCGCGUUAGAUUAGGUAGUUGGUGGGGUAAUGGCCUACCAAGCCUACGAUCUAUAGCUGGUUUGAGAGGAUGAUCAGCCACACUGGGACUGAGACACGGCCCAGACUCCUACGGGAGGCAGCAGUGGGGAAUCUUGGACAAUGGGGGCAACCCUGAUCCAGCCAUGCCGCGUGAGUGAUGAAGGCCCUAGGGUCAUAAAGCUCUUUCGCCUGUGAUGAUAAUGACAGUAGCAGGUAAAGAAACCCCGGCUAACUCCGUGCCAGCAGCCGCGGUAAUACGGAGGGGGUUAGCGUUGUUCGGAAUUACUGGGCGUAAAGCGCGCGUAGGCGGACUGUUAAGUCAGGGGUGAAAUCCCGGGGCUCAACCCCGGAACUGCCCUUGAUACUGGCAGUCUUGAGUUCGAGAGAGGUGAGUGGAAUUCCGAGUGUAGAGGUGAAAUUCGUAGAUAUUCGGAGGAACACCAGUGGCGAAGGCGGCUCACUGGCUCGAUACUGACGCUGAGGUGCGAAAGUGUGGGAGCAAACAGGAUUAGAUACCCUGGUAGUCCACACCGUAAACGAUGAAUGCCAGUCGUCGGGUAGCAUGCUAUUCGGUGACACACCUAACG